GCUGGGUGUGGUGGCGCAUGCGUGUAGUCCCAGCUACUCAGGAGGCUGAGGUGGGAGGGUCACUUGAGCCCAGGAGAUCAAGGCUGUAGUGAGCUGUGAUCGCGCCACUGCACUCCAGCCUGGGCAACAGAGUGAGACCCUGUCUCAA
ensembl:misc_RNA Metazoa_SRP Metazoan signal recognition particle RNA